CAUUUUCGCAUCCCUCGUCUCUCUCUAGGGUUAGCGCCUCGCUCCUCUAUCUCGCGCAUUCCCCAUCGAUUCAUCAUCGUCACCCUUAGAUCCGGCGAUUUGAUGCGACGGGAAGUGUAGAUCAGGGGAGGAGAGGCAAGGGGCAGCCACGGGAGGUGAAUCAUUGAGCACACUUUGUAGUUUAUUCGUUGUUUCCGCCCCCAAAUCUGCUGCGGGGCACGAGGCGUAUUCGAGCUGAUCGGAGCGGCGGCAGCAAUGGCGGGGCUCUCACUGCGGUGCGGUUACUGCGGUGCGCAGCUGCGGAGCGUGGAGGAGGCGUAGGCGCACGCCGAGGUCACCAGCCAUGCCAACUUCGUCGAGUCCACCGAGGCCGUCCUCAACCUCGUCUGCUCCGACUACGGCGCAGCCAGGCCUCCCAGGCCAGAUGGUGGUGCCGCAUGGGAACAAGGAGAGAUGCUUUGCGGACCUCGAGGGCAUAAGAUUUGCCACGACGUGUGCCUCUAGGGCACUUCAUUUCUCUGGACCUAGUGAUAAUCUAGUGAUAGGAUAUUGGCGCUGCUAUUAGAUUAGCAAGGUCAUGAAAGGAGAUCAUCAGUUUUCAAAAAAAAAAUGAAAGGAGAUCAUCAGUUUUCAAAAAAAAAUAAAAAAAAUGAAAGGAGAUCAUUAGUUAUGCAAGCAUGACUGAGUUUCUUUAUUUGUUCAGUUUUGCCUGUGAUGUAGUUUUGGAUUUAGGGAGAGGGAGGCAAAUGCAUACACAGUACCAAAUUACGAGGUUCCCAACCAUUUGUAGUUCUAAAUCAUGUAUUGUAUUUGUAUACCUAAACAUACGUACACUCCGAAUAAAAUUGCAUGUUAUCAUGUCCA